rnacentral:lncRNA from 1 species
CACACAACGGGGUUUCGGGGCUGUGGACCCUGUGCCAGGAAAGGAAGGGCGCAGCUCCUGCAAUGCGGAGCAGCCAGGGCAGUGGGCACCAGGCUUUAGCCUCCCUUUCUCACCCUACAGAGGGCAGGCCCUUCAGCUCCAUUCUCCUCCAAGGCUGCAGAGGGGGCAGGAAUUGGGGGUGACAGGAGAGCUGUAAGGUCUCCAGUGGGUCAUUCUGGGCCCAGAGAUGGGUGCUGAAGCUCCCACGCCUGCCUGUGAAAAUGGAGUCCUCUCUCACCUGGGAGAGCCAGGUGCUGCCCCGAGAAGGAUGCAUUUAUGGCUUCAUGAAGUCUUUCCUGACCCCCGAUGCUGCUGACUAUAGAGACAAAGUCUCACUAUGUUGCUCAGGCUGGUCUUGAACUCCUGGCCUCAAGCGAUCCUCCCACCUUAGCCUCCCAAAGAGUUGGGAUUAUAGACAUGAGCCACUGCACCUGGCCGACCUUGGGCAAGUUCUUAAACCCUUCAAAGCCUCAUUUUUCUCCAAUCAUAAAAGGGAAAGAUGGUAAUAUUUUCCCCUCCAAAUUCUUGUCGGAUGCCCUCACAGAAUUGAGAUUAUGUACGUAAAACACCAGGUGCCUAACCCGGCACAGAGCAGGAGGGCUAAGCGUGACAUCCAGCACGUGGUCAGUGGAAUCCAGUAUUCCUACCCACCUCUCUAGUCUCCCCUCCACCCCUCUCCCUUUCAGAGGCACCAAGCUGCUUGUGGUCUUGUCUAUUCCCACUCCCUGCCUGACUGAACAUUUUCUCCACCUCCUGAUCAUCAGCAGCAGAAACUGGCUGCUCUUCCUCCUGGGUAGACAGCCAGACUGUAUUUCCCAGCUGCCCCUGCAGUGAGAUGUGGCCAUCGGAGCCAGCAUUGGCCAAUGGACUCUGCAUGGGAGUGACGCAUGCUGCCUCCAGGCUUGUCCCUAAAACCUCCCACGUGUCCUCCGCCUGCUCUUCCCACUUCCAAGGAGCACGGCAAUUGUGGAAGACCCAGAUUAGUGAUGGCAGAACCAUAGAUGGGAGGAACCUGGGUCCCUGACUUAAAGUAUCAUGGAUUUGGAUGUUCCCUUAGUGAGAAAUAAACUUCCAUUGUGUUUAAGCCUUUA